rnacentral:rRNA from 1 species
CUGCUCAAUGAAAAAUUUAAAUAGCUGCAGUAAUUUAACUGUACUAAGGUAGCACAAUAAUUAGAUUUAUAAUUAAAAUCUUGAAUGAAAGAUUAAAUGAAAUAUAAACUGUCUCAAUUUAAUAAAUUUAAAUUAUUUUUAAGUAAAAAAACUUAAAUAAAAUUAAAAGACGAGAAGACCCCUUAGAAUUUUAUUUUAAAUUUUUUAUAUUUAUUAAUAAUAAUCAAAACUAAAUAUUUAAUUUAAAAUUUUUUUGGGGUAAAAUUUAAAUUUUAAUAAACUUUAAUUAUUAAAUACAUUAAUUAAUGAAAAAUUAAUCCAAAAUUUUGAUUAAAAAAAUUAAUUACCUAGGGGAUAACAGCAUAAUUUUUUUAAAUAGCACUUAUAUAUAAAAAAGUUUAUGACCUCGAUGUUGAAUUAAGAUAAAAUUAAAAUGUAAAAAAUUUAAAAUUUAAGUCUGUUCGACU